rnacentral:rRNA from 1 species
GUUAAACAAAAAGAGCAUAGGGAGAAUGCCUAGCCACUGGGAGCCGAAGAAAGACGUGACAAGCUGCGAAAAGCUGCGGGAAGGAGCAAAUAUCUGAUGAGCCGCAGAUUUCUGAAUGGGGCAACCUGUCUGAGCAAAACUCAGAUAUGCUACAGCCAAUACAUAACUGUAGCAGGGGAACCCGGCGAACUGAAACAUCUAAGUAGCCGGAGGAAAAGAAAGAAACAUCGAUUCCGAAAGUAGCGGCGAGCGAAAUUGGAAGAGCCUAAACCACAGCACGAGUGCUGUGGGGUUACGGACUGCAAAAAGGGAUGUAAAAGCUACCCGAACGGAUUUGGGAAAUCCGGUCAAAGAGCGUGAAAGCCGCGUAGGGGAAAGCGGAUACAGCUUAGCAGGAUCCAAAGUACCAUAAGACACGGGAAACCUUGUGGGAAGUUGGGGGGACCACCCCCCAAGGCUAAAUACUACCCAGUGAGCGAUAGAGAACAAGUACAGUGAUGGAAAGGUGAAAAGAACCCCGGGAGGGGAGUGAAAAAGAACCUGAAACCCUAUGUUUACAAGCUGUGGAAGACUGAUGAGAAAACAAGGUCGACCGCGUACUUUUUGUAGAACGGUCCGGCGAGUUGCAGGUGCUGGCAAGGCAAAACACUACAGGUGGAAAGCCAAAGGGAAGCCAAGUCAAAAAAGGGCGCAAAGUCAGCAGCUGCAGACCCGAAACCGGGUGAUCUAUCCAUGUCCAGGUUGAAGUCUGCGUAAAAGUGGAUGGAGGACCGAACCCACAUCCGUUGAAAAGGGUGGGGAGGAGGUGUGGAUAGGGGAGAAAUUCCAAUCGAACCCGGAGAUAGCUGGUUCUCCUCGAAAUAGUUUUAGGACUAGCCUGAAUAAAGUCUGGCGGAGGUAGAGCACUGAAUUCCUGCGGGGGCGUCAAAGCCUACCAAGGGAUAUCAAACUGCGAAUGCCGUACAGAUGAUUAUUCAGAGUCAGACUGAACGAGAUAAGUCGGUCAGUCAAAAGGGAAAAAGCCCAGACCUACAGCUAAGGUCCCAAAGUAUACGUUAAGUGGAAAAGGAUGUGGGAUUUCAAAGACAGCUAGGACGUUGGCUUAGAAGCAGCCAUACGUUCAAAGAGUGCGUAACAGCUCACUAGUCGAGAGGUCCUGCGCCGAAAAUGUCCGGGGCUAAAACGUAACACCGAAGCUAAGGGAUACCGAAAGGUAUCGGUAGAGGAGCAUUUCUUAAAGCGAAGAAGCUGUACCGAAAGGAGCAGUGGAGUACAAGAAAGAGAGAAUGCCGGAAUGAGUAGCGAGAGUGGGGUGAGAAUCCCCACGGCCGAAUACCCAAGGUUUCCCAGGUAAAGCUUAUCUGCCUGGGGAGAGUCGGGACCUAAGGCGAGGCCAAAAGGCGUAGCCGAUGGACAACAGGUGAAGAUUCCUGUACUAUGCGUAAUCAGAAAUGUGGGGAAGCGGAGGUCAAAGCCGGACCCGGGAGAGCAAAAACCGGGGCAAGCAUAAAGGAAAGAGGGAGGAAAAGCCCCCUUAAAAAAGCCAAUAUGUUAAGCCAAGCGAACAAAAGUAGCAAAGCCGGAUAGGAAGCCGCCAAGAAAAGCCGCUAUAGCGUUACGUAUACCCGUACUAAAACCGACACAGGUGGGAAGGGAGAGAAUCCUAAGGCCGACGGGAGAAGCAUCGUCAAGGAACUCGGCAAAAUGACCCCGUAACUUAGGGAGAAGGGGUGCUGGAUAAAACCAGCCGCAGAAAAGAGGCUCAAGCAACUGUUUAGCAAAAACACAGGUCUAUGCGAAACCGAAAGGUGAAGUAUAUGGGCUGACGCCUGCCCGGUGCCGGAAGGUUAAGAGGAGAAGUCAGGAAACGAAGCUUUGAACCUAAGCCCCGGUAAACGGCGGCCGUAACUAUAACGGUCCUAAGGUAGCGAAAUUCCUUGUCGGGU